rnacentral:rRNA from 1 species
GAUGAACGCUGGCGGCGUGCCUAAUACAUGCAAGUCGAGCGAACAGACGAGGAGCUUGCUCCUCGGACGUUAGCGGCGGACGGGUGAGUAACACGUGGAUAACCUACCUAUAAGACUGGGAUAACUUCGGGAAACCGGAGCUAAUACCGGAUAAUAUAUUGAACCGCAUGGUUCAAUAGUGAAAGACGGUUUUGCUGUCACUUAUAGAUGGAUCCGCGCCGCAUUAGCUAGUUGGUAAGGUAACGGCUUACCAAGGCAACGAUGCGUAGCCGACCUGAGAGGGUGAUCGGCCACACUGGAACUGAGACGCGGUCAAGACUCCUAAGGGAGGCAGCAGUAGGGAAUCUUCCGCAAUGGGCGAAAGCCUGACGGAGCAGCGCCGCGUGAGUGAUGAAGGUCUUGGGAUCGUAAAACUCUGUUAUUAGGGAAGAACAAAUGUGUAAGUAACUAUGCACGUCUUGACGGUACCUAAUCAGAAAGCCACGGCUAACUACGUG